UACGUAGGCAGCGAGCGUUGUUCGGAAUUACUGGGCGUAAAGGGCUCGUAGGCGGCCAACUAAGUCGGAUGUGAAAUCCCCAGGCUUAACCUGGGAACUGCAUCUGAUACUGGAUGGCUUGAAUCCGGGAGAGGGAUGCAGAAUUCCAGGUGUAGCGGUGAAAUGCGUAGAUAUCUGGAGGAAUACCGGUGGCGAAGGCGGCAUCCUGGACCGGCAUUGACGCUGAUGAGCGAAAGCUAGGGGAGCAAACGGG
rnacentral:rRNA from 1 species